AUUGAACGCUAGCGGGAUGCCUUACACAUGCAAGUCGAACGGAGUGGAGAACGGGUGAGUAAUGUAUCGGAACGUGCCCAGUAGCGGGGGAUAACUACGCGAAAGCGAAGCUAAUAACGCAUACUAUUAGGACGGCCGGUGUCGGAUUGUCUGGUUGGGGGGGUAACGGCUCACCAAGGCGACGAUCCGUAGCCGGGUUUAGAGGCAGACCCGCCACACUGGGACUGAGACACGGUCAAGACUCCUACGGGAGGCAGCAGUGGGGAAUUUUGGACAAUGGGGGAAACCCUGAUCCAGCCAUCCCGCGUGUGCGAUGAAGGCCUUCGGGUUGUAAAGUACUUUCAGCGAGGAGGCGUUACUCGCAGAAGAAGCACCGGCUAACUCCGUGCCAGCCGCCGCGGUAAUAC
rnacentral:rRNA from 1 species